UUUUAAAAAAUGUUAAUAUAGAAAAAAGCACCCUUAUAAUAAUAUAUAUAAUAAUAUAUAUAUGUACAAAAAAAAAAAAAAAAAAAAAAAAAAAAUUUAGAUUUAUUAUUUUAUAAAUAUUAAUAUAUAUAAAUAAUCCGUUGUUCUAAUUAUUUCAUUUUUCAUAUGUUUCUUAAAAUUUUAUAUAGAUAUAGAAAAAGUUGUAUAUAAUAAUAACAUUUUUAUUAAAUAUGAUUUCUAUUUAUUCUUAUAAUUUCUUUUCAAUUCUAAAGCUUUAGAUAUCUUCUUUUAUAACACUACAAUAAGCUUUGGUAUAUAUUAAUGUAUAUGUAUAAUAAUAAAUAUAUAUUAUAAUUUAUUUAUAUUUUAAAUAUUUUACGGCUACAAUAAUGAAUUUUUUUAUUUUUCUUAAAUUAUAUAAAUUUUACAUGUUUAAAAAAAUAAAACUAUUUAAUAAAUAAACAUAUAAAAGUAUAUAUAUAUAUAUAUAUAUUUCUUUUUUUUUUCUUUUUAAACAACUGAUAGAAUAUUAUUGCUAACAUUUUUAUUCAUUUUACUAAUUAAAUAUACAAAAAUUAUAUCCUUUAAAACAAAAAAACAAUAUAUAUUUUUUUAUUCUUAAAUUAUUUUUUUAAUAUGUCAAAAAAAAGUAAUAAUACAGAAGAUAACAAUAACAACAAAAAAAGCCAACCUACAAUUAAAUGUAUAACAAAAUGUGGUACUCAUACAAGUAAUUCAAAUAUAAAGAAAGAAAAGAAAAAAAAAAGAUUCAAUAUCUUGUCCGCUAUUGCUAAAAAAUUUUUUUUAAGUGUUGUUGUAUAACAAUGUGCUUCUAAAUCUUAAUAAUGUAAGAUAAAAAAAAAAAAAAAAAGAAUUUUUUCUUUUUGUUGUUUUCAAUAAUAUCAACGUAUAUAAAUUCAUAAUAUUUAAACUUAAUUGUUAUAUAUAUAUAUAUAUAUAUAUAUAUAUAUAUAUAUGUACACAUCAUAUAUUUCUUAUUUUUUUUUUUCUUCCUUUUUUCAAAUACUACUUUUUUAUAGAACGACACCCGAUACAUUUAAGUAUGCAAAAAAAUGUCCUAAAAUUUUAAAUGCCUUGUUAUAUUAAAACGUUAUAACACCCGCAACAGGAAAAUAUAAAGAUCAAUAUGAAUAUAUAAAUAAAUAAAUCAUAAUAUAUAUUAAAUAAUUUUUAUUUUAACAUCUAAAUUGAGUAUAUUAAUAUGUAUAUAUAUAUAUAUAUAUAUAUAUAAUAAUAAUAAUAAAUAAUACAAAAUAAUUAAAUGUGAAAUAACAAAAUGAAUAAAUUGAUAAUAUCAAAAUAUAAAGACAAGCACAAAUAAUAAAAGCGCUUAACCCUAAUUACUAUAAUGGUUACAAUUGACUUAAAGAGAAAUAUUUGAAAUAAAUAGAAUAUUGAAACAAAUAAAUAAUAUAUAUUUAAAUAUUUUUAAAAGAAAAUCUAAGUUAUAUACUAUUAGGAUAAGUUUAUUUGGAUAAAUAUAAAUAUUUAUAUAUAAUAUAAUGAAACUUAUAAGUAAUUUUUAGGUUCAUUUUCAUAUAUAUAUAUAUAUAUAUAUAUAUAUAUAUAUAUAUAUUUUAAUUGUAUUAAUUAUAGCUUUUCCUAAAAUAAUACAAACAAGUUGUUAUAUUUUUUUUAAACCUCCAUUUAUGGGAAGAUUCUUUCUUUCCUUUUAUCUUAUUUUAUUUAUUUAUAUUCCUUUUUUUCACUUUUAAUUACAACUUAAAUUUUAAAUUUUCAUAUGACCUUUUAUAGAAAAAUUUUUUU
rnacentral:sRNA from 1 species